CUCCAUGAAGUAAAAUUUCAUCAACUGUUUAAUCCCUUUACUGUUCGUCCUGAUCGACCAGCACGUUCGUAGGCAGACGCCGUGUAUAUGGGAGCGACCAUUAGUUGAGGAAAUGAGUUGUCUCCUAAUAUGCAGAAUAAGUUCAUUUCCGAUGUACCUGCUAGAUUAGCAAAGUGCAUCAAAUCAGAAGCCUAUGGUGAUGCAGUAAAAUACUAUACGGGAGCCAUGCCCAUAUUUAAGGCAUAUGGGGACAGUUCAUUCCAUGACUACAAACGAGCCUCAGAAGAAGCAAUUGCUGUCAUUAUUAAAGGCUUGCAGGUCUGUAAGUCAUCCAAUUUAUUGGUUGGGAGUGGCCAUUUUAUCCCAUGGAGCACAUUGUAAAUAUGCCUGGUGACAAGAAGUUGAUGUUGAAAUUUCCUGCCUUCAAUGUCAUUAAUAUUGGAUCACAUGCCGGAAACAAACUUGCAAUGCAGCAAUUCUUAUUAUAUCUGGAGAGCUAUUGUACAUGCAACAAUCAUGUUUGACAGCAUGGCUUCUACACGAAACUCACCCAUUUUUCCACCCACUUUGGUUAACUUACCAUCCUCAUCAACGACAACAAGCGCACACAACAGCUCCAGCGCUUUAAGUACACCUUCAGUUGCUGCACUAUCCAUCAAGUCAAACUUCAUCAAGUGUUUAAGUCCUUGUGUAACACCACGACCUAACGUAAGGAACUGUUCGUUCUCAUCGACAACCAGGUUGGUUGGUAGACGCCUUUGAAAUGCGAGCGACCAUAAAUAACUCGGUUCCUGUCCGAGG